ensembl:lncRNA
GUCUGGAGUUUGAUACCCACCGGUAUCAUAAGUACAUCCCCUGCUUUCUUCACAGUGUAGGAAACUGAUGAGUGGAGUUUGGUCUAAUGGUACGGUGACAUUUCUUUGAAUGUACAUUGUUUUAUGUUUAUUAAAGGCAGAAUAUGACCCAAGAUUUGAUCUAAACAUAAACUUCUUUUGGUAUCAUUUUUAAAGAGCUCCAUGACUUUGCCCGCGCGCGUGGAAUGACUGACUGAUUUGACGGGAGAGGAGUUACCACACGCCACAAACGCCGACUCUGCGCUGAAUUGCGCAUUUAAAGCCUUUAGCUCUACUCAGAUGUUACAGUGAACACAUAUAAGUGAGAAGGAACAAUAAAGUGACGGCACAUUGGCAUUUCACUAACACUUUGUUGUUUAGAGGAUGAAAUACAGAUAAUCUGCAGAAUCAAACCAAUAAAUACCACAACAAGACUUGACAAGUGCGCCAUGAGGGCCGGAGGCGUCUCGGCACGCGGAUUCCAGGCUCCCACUUAUUGUUGAUUUCAGUUUGUGUUCAAACUUACAAGUUCACACUUAUUUUUGUGGUUUGUUAAAACCACACGACACUUAUGCCAAAUAAUACAAAAAUCAGUUUGUUCCAUUUAGUUAACAGUCAGCAUGAGGCUGUGUGACUGAGCUGCUGUAGUUUAAUUGUGUGACUCCAUGCGAGUGGUGUGCGUGUGUGUUUUUUGCAUUCAAGCGAAAGUCCUUAAAUAAACUUGAAGUAUUUUGUGUGAGUUCGCUGGACCCUUGUGGCACCUUAAUACCCUCUUCAAUUAUUUUCCUAGAGGGGGUCCUUGUGUUCGACAGCUUACCGCAAUUAAAAUUUAUUUAGGGCUUACAAGGAAUCCUUUCACUCUCGAAUAAAUCAGGGUGAAUUCCUGUGACCCUGACGAGGUUUCCCCCUCCCUGUAAUUAUCCUCUGCUCGACGAGGGCAGGGAGCCCCCCCCCCCCCGAGCAUUAUCCCAGAGCUUUGCAUUUGUAAUUAAAUCAUAAAACCACAACAACUGCAAAUUUAGUUUUCAAAACGAGCGGCGCGAGGCUGUCAUCUAAGGAACCGGGUGCGUUCCAGGUGUCAUUUUAUCUAUUUAUUUUAUGUGAAGAUGAGAAAAGUUGUACUGUGACACUCAGGAGAUUACAAGUCUCAGCAGGUACGGACGCAUUUAGUGCCGCUUGUAUACCAGCACUCGUUUUAACGUUGUGGCUUGUAGUUCAAGUACAACACUGGAAUAUACUACAGAUCGCCUUUAGCUUGGCGUCUAGAACAGAUUUAAUACUUUUUAUUCUGCCCUUUUCCACUGUUCCAUUUUCUGCAUGAAGCUUAAAUAACGUGUCUGUGCUCUGUAGUUUUUCUUCUUUGCCACGACCCGCCUCUCCUUGUCCUCCUGAUAUGUUGUCACCAUUCACCUCUGAUUACUUUGCCCUCGCGAACAAGUGUUGAAUUAAAUGCCUAAUUUAACACGGGCCUUUUGUUGGCCGCUCUCUUUGUCGGGAGUCUCUUUCUAAACGGGCGGUGUUGUGGACGGCCUGUGGGAGACGCUCGGCCUCCUCUCAUUGUGCCCCAGGGGCGGGGGGGGGGGGGCACCGCGUCCUUGGGCAAGGCAGCAGAGCCGUCAGCUCCCUCUGUCACACUUUAUCUGCAGGCAGGACGCGGCCAGCCCUCGGGACACAGCUAGGGGUCCUCAAAGACCCCGGGGCCUUGCCGCUAAUCUCCGAGGAUGCCUACCGCGGGGUUGUUUAGCAACCGCCUCUGCCUCACGGCGUUUGUGUUUGGACGCCGUGUGACGGAGCGCUUGAUGCGAAGGUUACGGCAAAACUAUCCAAACAACACGAUGGGCACUUUUGUUGCUCACUGAAGAGGCGGCGCGAUCAGGAGAGCCCACUGCGCGUCCUUUGAGGCCCCCGAGUCAUGGGAAGAACAACGAGUACCCUCACAAGCACCACGUGAAGCUUCUCAGGAGGUGUCACCAAAAGGUUACUGAGAUGUUUCCUUGUUAAAUUGAACUAAAAUGCUUUAUUUUGUAUUAAAUUUAGUUUAGUUUUUUCAGCCGUUCCUAGAUUCUUAAUUCUUAUUUUAGAACGAUUUGUGGGGUCUACAAAAUGUGAUAAAUAAAUAAGGGGAAAAUCAGGAAGGAAUGCCGUCUCGCACCGGAGUGAAAAAUUGUUGUCCGAGCGGCGCGGUGAAAAUGAUCCAGAGGCCCGGCAGUGGUUGGAAGCACUGACAUCGUCAAGUAGGAGAUAAACGUCAUAAACGGUAAAUUUCUGGUGCUUCUGUGUAAAACAUAGUAGGGAGGUAUGGAAGAGGUCGUGGUGGACUAGUUACACUAAAAUAUUUGACCUUAACUGAAUGCUUAUUCUAAACCUAACCAUGUUGUCACACCAUUACAAACGGGAUUAGCAAUGAAUUUAACCAUAUCAAAGAAU